rnacentral:rRNA from 1 species
UACAGAGGUCCCAAGCGUUGUUCGGAUUCACUGGGCGUAAAGGGUGCGUAGGUGGUUAGGUAAGUCCGAUGUGAAAUCUCCAGGCUCAACCUGGAAAUGGCAUUGGAUACUAUCUAGCUUGAGGAGUGGAGGGGGGACUGGAAUUCUCGGUGUAGCAGUGAAAUGCGUAGAGAUGUGGAGGAACACCAGUGGCGAAGGCGACUCUUUGGCCUGUAACUGACGCUGAGGCGCGAAAGCGUGGGGAGCAAACAGG